rnacentral:rRNA from 1 species
GAUGAACGCUGGCGGCGUGCCUAAUACAUGCAAGUCGAGCGAAUGGAUUAAGAGUUUGCUCUUAUGAAGUUAGCGGCGGACGGGUGAGUAACACGUGGGUAACCUGCCCAUAAGACUGGGAUAACUCCGGGAAACCGGGGCUAAUACCGGAUAACAUUUUGAACCGCAUGGUUCGAAAUUGAAAGGAGGCUUCGGCUGUCACUUAUGGAUGGACCCGCGUCGCAUUAGCUAGUUGGUGAGGUAACGGCUCACCAAGGCAACGAUGCGUAGCCGACCUGAGAGGGUGAUCGGCCACACUGGGACUGAGACACGGCCCAGACUCCUACGGGAGGCAGCAGUAGGGAAUCUUCCGCAAUGGACGAAAGUCUGACGGAGCAACGCCGCGUGAGUGAUGAAGGCUUUCGGGUCGUAAAACUCUGUUGUUAGGGAAGAACAAGUGCUAGUUGAAUAAGCUGACACCUUGACGGUACCUAACCAGAAAGCCACGGCUAACUACGUGCCAGCCGCCGCAGUAA